UCUAACUGGAUGGAUAGCAAGUCU
rnacentral:piRNA from 1 species